rnacentral:tRNA from 1 species
GUGUAGCUUAACCAAAGCAUCUCGCUUACACCGAGAAUAUAUCUGUUCAACUCGGAUCACCUUGAG